UAAAUUCCUUAGAAACACCUUGUUCACCUCUGGGAUUUUAAUUUCCCCAGCCAGGUAACAGCUCCAAAAUGUUCGGCGCCUGCUGUGCAGGCCAGCACAAACGAAAAUAGCAGCAAACUUGGAUUCUCUUCCCAGAUUUUUUUCCCUGCCCGAAAAUCAAAGUUUUUUAAUGGAAUGAUUCUUGUCGAGUAUGAGCAGUGCAACCAUUAUUGCACUUGAACGGCGGGUGUUGAGAGCCCAAGGAGGAGCUGAAGAAGGAAGGGAUCUAUGGACUGUGGAGGCGAAGUCAGCAAUGAAAGCAAAUGUGGAAAGGAACUUCCCACCAAUCUCCAGGCGGUGGAAGGGAAGGCCAUCUCUUAGUGGCAUCGUAGUGCCGGGGCUGCCCUUCCAAGGAGCCAGCAGCCCCUCCGCACACUUAACAUUAUGAAAUAGGAUUGAAUAGGCUUGUAGGGUUGGGUCUUAGGAGAAUUUGGGGCAUCACUGGGGAUCCCUGGGUGGCUCAGUGGUAUAGCGCCUGCCUUCGGCCCAGAGCGUGAUCCUGGAGUCCAGGGUUCGAGUCCCCCAUCAGGCUCCCUGCAUGGGCCCUGCUUCUCCCUCUGCUUGUGUCUCUGCCUCUCUCUCUCUCUCCCUCUUUCUCUCUCUCUAUGUGUCUCUCAUGAAUAAAUAAAUAAAAUCUUUAAAAAAAAAAAGAAAAAAGAAAAUUUGGGGCAUCAGCGAGGGUAGGCCGGGGUGAUCCAUGAAGCUUCUGAGAUGGUAAAUAGUCUGUGAAACAGAAAACAAAGUGUUUCUUGUCUAUACUGGAUGGCAAAUAAGCUAAUGAAGUCGAUCUAGUUUACUCUCAUUUUAUUUCCAUGUUCUUUUGGUGACUCUGCAGUGGAAGGAUCAGGGCUUCUCAGAUAGGAUCCCUAUGCUAGUAUUAACAGAAUUUGAGGUAAACAGUUAUUACUUAACUGGACAAAAGAACAUAUGAAU